GUGUCCAUUGUCUAAUGGAUAAGACAAAGGUCUUCUAAAACUUUGGUAUAGUUUCAAAUCCUAUUGGAUGCA
rfam:Picea glauca, whole genome shotgun sequence.